GGAGAGGUGGCCGAGUGGUUUAAGGCAGCGGUCUUGAAAACCGCCGUGGCAGCGAUGUCACCGUGGGUUCGAAUCCCACCCUCUCCGCCA
rnacentral:tRNA from 1 species